UACUCAGAAUGCAUAGAAUGUCUUCUGUCGUCUGGAUAAAACAUCCAAAUGGAGAUGCGGAGUAGGCAGUUGGAAACAUCCAUCUGCAGUUUAGGAGAGAGGUCAGGGCUGGCAGUGAGACUGGAGGGGAGUCAUCAGCAAACAACAGCAUUUAAACCUUGAGCUUGAAUGACCACCAAACAUGGAGAGAGAAAAGUUCAAGAACUGAGCCUGGAGCAAACCAACAUGCACAGGCUGCAGGAAAGAAGAGACCAAGUGGGUUGAAGAGGAACCAACGAGGCAGAAAAAGCCAGGCCAGUGUAGCUCUCUGGAAGCCAGAGAAGAAAGGGCACCAAGUAGGGGAGAAUGACCAGGAUAGCCAAGGGCCCAUCCAGCAGACAUACCUGUCAACUCUACUGAGGAGAGAAGGUGAACAUGAGAAAUUUCAAGCACUUGAAGCUUAAAAGACCUAAAAAGGUAAAUAACAAUUCAAAAUGAAGUCACUGCCAUUCUUUCACAUACCUUCUUUCCUAAUAUAGACUAAUUUAUUUGAAAACUGUAUAAAUUAAGUU
rnacentral:lncRNA from 1 species